rnacentral:lncRNA from 1 species
GCAAUUGUGACUCCAAUUUAAACUGUGAAAUUGAGUCAACGAUUUAGACUUGUGGUUUUCAGUUGAAAUCUUACUUUUAGAAAUUUAAGAACUUAAAAAUAAUAUUUCAUAUUUAUAAGUACUUAAUUGAUGAGUUAUUCAAGUAUUCACGAAUAUCUCAUUUGUUAAGUCAGACAAGUUAAAGUACUUAAAAGGAAAUUAAACAUAUUAAAUUAAUGCACAAGGCUUUAAGUGUUGAAAAACAUUUAACUACAUUUGAAAAUGAAACAAAAUCAUUAAUCAAAGUUCCCUUAAGAAUGGUUGUUAAAACUAGCCUGAUUUAUAAAUAGGCUAA